UCUCGUUCACCUGCUUUGUUCCUGUUCUGUUUCCUCGUAUUUUGUUUGUUUCAGCCUCUUCAUUUUAUUUUGUGCCAGUUUUGCUGCCUGAGUUUGAGUUUGCUGGAUUUCCUGCCUCCUCGCCUGACGUCUGUCUUGAUGGCAUGCAUGGAGUAGCCGAGCCCUAGCUGCCUGCAAACCACCAUGGCUUCCCUCGUGGUCCAACCUGUGCUGCACACUGUGCCCCACUUGGACCCAACCUGAACCUCCACUCGGCCCUCAUAACUGCUGCGGCCGCCCACUAUCCGGACCUGCAGAGACGUCCUGCUGGGAGUCAGUGAGGGGGGCACACUUCCUGUCCCGUCUCUGAACUGUCUGAGCUAAAACUGGCUGCGUUGACACUCGGUCCUCGGACAGCGGAGAACACGUCGUUAAAGUAGCAGUUGGGUUAAAGUUUUACAGGCGGGGGGGGGGGGAAGUGGACGUGGCGUCCACAUGAGGUCACUGCUCGGUUUUAGUGGGGCAGUUCCAGAUGGACUUCUCCUGACCGAGGCACUUCACCUCGUUCAUGUAGAUCGGACCAAUCCCUGGACAGAUGCAGGAU